rnacentral:rRNA from 1 species
GACGAACGCUGGCGGCGUGCUUAACACAUGCAAGUCGAGCGGUAAGGCCCCUUCGGGGGUACACGAGCGGCGAACGGGUGAGUAACACGUGGGUGACCUGCCCUCGGCUCUGGGAUAAGCCUGGGAAACCGGGUCUAAUACCGGAUAUGACUCCAUGACGCAUGUUGGUGGGGUGGAAAGCCUUGUGCGGCUAGGAGGAGU